GAAUACUUUAGGAUUAAUGUUUCCUUAACAUGGGAGCUUCACUGUCAAGAGCAAGCUUACAGUAUAGUACAUUGUAGAAGAGGAUUGAAGUAUGCCUGCAGUGAAGUUGUUCAAAAUCUCCAUUAAAAUCAAAAAAAGUUUAGGGUUUGUGACAAGGAAGCAGUGUUUCCCUAGGGAAAGUAAUGGACAAAUGCAGAAAGCAGAUUAAGUUUACUCAGGAAGAAGCACAUUGAGAAAGCCAUUUCCAGCAAGUCACUGUGCAUCCAAAAGCCACAUGCCAGAACACAGAGCCAAACAUCAGCUAUGCAGAAAAGGGCCAGGAAAAAUAAUCUAUAAUUAGUUCCCAAACACAGAGCAUAUCAUAGUUAACCACUUCUGAAAUCAACUGACUCUUCCACACUAUUGCAAAAGGAUUUUUGGUGAAGAUCUGAAACCAAAAAGACACAGACAGGUAUAAAGAAAGAUUCUGAUUUGCGGUAGCAGCCUGGAUCAUGAAGGUUAUCUCAAACUGUAACAGAAAGUGGGACUUUGUCCUUUUUAUUUGUUGCCCUGGAUGCAUUCAUCCCUGAGGGAAGCAGGAAGACAUUCAUGCCAAAUCUGGAAGCAAAGCAUGCUUGUGCAUAAAACAUGAGCCAAACAAUUCAACAAGACGACAACCUUUUUGCCAGCUUUUUCAAGUCAUGUUGGCAGGGUCAAGAUCUGCAGAAUAUACAUGGGAGAAAGACAUCUGAUACUUCUACUAAGCUAUAUGGAAAUCAGUAUCAUCACCAUGUCUCUUAUUCACCCAGGAAGCUUAAUGAUCUUGAAGUGUGCACCUUUACCAGGAAAAACUAUGCAAAGAAACUACGGUAAAUACUGGUUUUGAUGAACAAGCUUUUCCACUACAAAGACAAAAAAUGUAGGACCAUAUUUCACUCCUUGAAAAGGUUAGCAAACUAUUUCGUAAAGUGGUUUCCUUGGGGCUCUCCAAAACAACUGGGCCACUUCUAUGCAGAAACAAUGCACAGAAGAUAUAAGGAGACUGGAAUCUUUUGAACCGGCAGCUGUGCUACCUGCGGCUCUCCAUAACAAGCAGACCAAUUCCAUGUGGAAACAGAAUGAGCACAAGAUAUAAAAAGAUCAAAAUUGUUUGAACCAGCAGCUGUGCUACCUGCAGCAGUUAAUCUUUUCUGGCAAUCUGUUAGAGACACACAUUCCUCAGGCUAAGAGGACUAAGAGGCUUUUGCUGACUGCUGUUCCUCUGAGAGAAGCUAAGUCCAAUUCUCCCUUCGUAUUACUGGAACUGUUAAAUAGUGAACUCAUAUAUGUAUUAGGGGGAAAAAAGUCACUUUCAUUUCCCUUCUUGGAAAGGACAUUUUUGAUCAGUUGCUUUGAAUAAGCAACUUUGAACUGGCAGCUCAUUUCUUAAAUCAGUUUUACUUAAACUAAAUGGUAAAAUCUUUUACUAUAAAGAAGCUAAAAUCAUGUAAGUUGAAAUUUAUUUAAUAAUAGUCAGGCAUGGGAAAAAGAGUAUGUAUGGACCCAAUAUCUGCAGUGAAGACAAAAUAUAUUUUUGUACUGUUGCGUAUAAAUUAAACCCAAAGUUUAUCUGCCCUUUAAAAUACUGUGAUGUUCUUGGGCUUUUUAGAUUUUUCUUUUUUUUCUUUCUUUUUUAUUCUGUUAAGCACUGUCUCUCUUUUACUCUCAUUGGAU
rnacentral:lncRNA from 1 species